AUUGAACGCUGGCGGCAGGCCUAACACAUGCAAGUCGAACGAGUGGCGGACGGGAGAGUCAUGUCUGGGAAACUGCCCGAUGGAUGGGGAUAACUCCUGGAAACGGUAGCUAAUACCGCAUACCAUCGGAUGUGCCGGGAUGGGAUUAGCUAGUAGGUGGGGUAACGGCUCACCUAGGCGACGACCCCGAGCUGGUCUGAGAGGAUGACCAGCCCCACUGGAACUGAGACACGGUCCAGACUCCUACGGGAGGAAGCAGUGGGGAAUAUUGCCCAAUGGGCGCAAGCCUGAUGCAGCCAUGCCGCGUGUAUGAAGAAGGCCUUCGGGUUGUAAAGUACUUUCAGCGAGGAGGCGUUACUCGCAGAAGAAGCACCGGCUAACUCCGUGCCAGCAGCCGCGGUAAUUC
rnacentral:rRNA from 1 species